CCAAUAGCGUAUAUUAAAGUUGUUGCAGUUAAAAAGCUCGUAGUUGAAUUUCGAGAUCAAUUUGUGGGUCGUGCCUCGGUACGUACUGGCAUUAUUGAUUUCUCCCUUCUGAAGAACCGCGAUGUCAUUAAUUUGGUGUCGUGGGGAAUCAGGACUGUUACUUUGAAAAAAUUAGAGUGUUUAAAGCAGGCACACGCUUGAAUACAUUAGCAUGGAAUAAUGAAAUAGGACGUUUGAUUCUAUUUUGUUGGUUUCUAGGAUUGACGUAAUGAUUAAUAGGGAUAGUUGGGGGCAUUAGUAUUCAAUUGUCAGAGGUGAAAUUCUUGGAUUUAUUGAAGACUAACUACUGCGAAAGCAUUUGCCAAGGAUGUUUUCAUUAAUCAAGAACGAAAGUUAGGGGAUCGAAGACGAUCAGAUACCGUCGUAGUCUUAACCAUAAACUAUGCCGACUAGGGAUCGGAUGAUGUUAUUUUUAAUGACUCAUUCGGCGCCUUACG
rnacentral:misc_RNA from 1 species